UACGUAGGCAGCGAGCGUUGUCCGGAAUUAUUGGGCGUAAAGAGCUCGUAGGCGGUUUGUCGCGUCUGCUGUGAAAUCUGGAGGCUCAACCUCCAGCCUGCAGUGGGUACGGGCAGACUAGAGUGCGGUAGGGGAGAUUGGAACUCCUGGUGUAGCGGUGGAAUGCGCAGAUAUCAGGAAGAACACCGAUGGCGAAGGCAGAUCUCUGGGCCGUAACUGACGCUGAGGAGCGAAAGCAUGGGGAGCGAACAGG
rnacentral:rRNA from 1 species